GAUGCAUUUGAAUUGUGCGUGUCGUAUUUUCGGCGCUCUUCGAUUCGAUUAACUUUUUUUGUGCGUGCUUUAUUAACUUUAUAUAAAUAUGAUGUGUUUGUGUAUGUGUUUCGUACUAAAUUCCUAAGCAAAAUGUGAUUACAUCUCGGAAGAUCCAGUUUACUAAAUCGGACAAGAUGGAAUUCGGCAGGCCCGUCGGCAGGAAGAAGACUGCGGUGCCUGUGUUACCACCUCGAAUUCCAACUCCUAUGCCGCCACCAAAUAAUAAUAAUUCGAUAAGAUCUUCACGUCCGAGAGAGCAGAAUACAAAAGUUCAUCCCUCGUCAGUUGGAUCAGACAUACCGAAACUUAUCUCAAAGGAUUCAUAUAAGCUCUUGGAUAAUGAUGUUAAAACGGCUUGGAUCAA